rnacentral:lncRNA from 1 species
AGCCAAUGGUCACCAACACAGUACUACUCAUUUUGAAGCAUAAUGGCACAAACUCAGAAAGUUUAAGAAUAAAAAGCAAAAGGAAAAACAUUUGGGAGAUAUCAUGUAUGAAAGCGUUGGCUAUAACACAAAAAAUAGCAUAUCACAAAAACUAUCAUUGAUCAAAUCAGAUGCAAAAACAGAAUUUAUUGCAUUAUUAUUCAAAAGUAAAACAUACAAGAAGCCUAGAAAAAGCCUUUUUGUC